rnacentral:rRNA from 1 species
GUAUAAGAGACAGCAGCAGCCACGGGAAUACGAGGGGGGCAAGCGUUGUUCGGAUUUAUUGGGCGUAAAGCGCACGUAGGCGGCUUUGUAAGUUAGAGGUGAAAGCCUGGAGCUCAACUCCAGAAUUGCCUUUAAGACUGCAUCGCUUGAAUCGCGGAGAGGUGAGUGGAAUUCCGAGUGUAGAGGUGAAAUUCGUAGAUAUUCGGAAGGACACCAGUGGCGAAGGCGGCUCACUGGACGCGUAUUGACGCUGAGGUGCGAAAGCGUGGGGAGCAAACAGGAUUAGAUACCCGGGUAGUCCCUGUCUCUUAUAC